CAGACAUCGGCACCGGCUUCCACCUGCUUCCUCUCCCCCACAGACCCCAAGGCUCCACCCACUCGGGCACCCACAGACGCCUCGGUCCUCUCCUCUUAUUCCAGAUACCGAACCAUACACAGACCUGAUUUUCUAGUGACCCCACCGCGACCUCCUACAAGCCGCACUUCCGCAAAUUCUCCUGCUGCGCCCAUGCCCAGCCUCCGCGCCCGGGGAUGGCGGCCGACGAGGGCCAGAGGCGUUUCUACCGAGAACAGUCAUUUGGACUUCCGGCUUUUCCUGGAGUCAAUAUGUCCGCGCCCAUUUGGCCAGCGGGUCUGCCAGGCGGCUGCCCUUCGGUAAUCGACCUACGGAAGGCGAAGUGGUCGUUUUGGCCAGAGUAGCCAGAACUCCAAGCUCAAACUUGCCAUGUUUCGAUGCUACUAUCCAGCUAUCAAGACUCGAGCAGGGAUCCCUGGGUGGCGCAGCGGUUUGGCGCCUGCCUUUGGCCCAGGGCGCGAUCCUGGAGACCCGGGAUCGAAUCCCACGUCGGGCUCCCGGUGCAUGGAGCCUGCUUCUCUCUCUGCCUGUGUCUCUGCCUCUCUCUCUCUCUGUGACUAUCAUAAAUAAAUAAAAAUUAAAAAAAAAAAAGACUCAAGCAAGCUAUCAAGCAAGGCUGUCUAAAAAUAGCACAAAA